UACGAAGGGGGCUAGCGUUGCUCGGAAUCACUGGGCGUAAAGGGUGCGUAGGCGGUUCUUUAAGUCAGGGGUGAAAUCCUGGAGCUCAACUCCAGAACUGCCUUUGAUACUGAAGAUCUUGAGUGCGGGAGAGGUGAGUGGAACUGCGAGUGUAGAGGUGAAAUUCGUAGAUAUUCGCAAGAACCCCAGUGGCGAAGGCGGCUCACUGGCCCGAUACUGACGCUGAGGCACGAAAGCGUGGGGAGCAAACAGG
rnacentral:rRNA from 1 species